UAACUGAAGAGUUUGAUCAUGGCUCAGAUUGAACGCUGGCGGCAGGCUUAACACAUGCAAGUCGAGCGGGGGAAGGUAGCUUGCUACCGGACCUAGCGGCGGACGGGUGAGUAAUGCUUAGGAAUCUGCCUAUUAGUGGGGGACAACAUCUCGAAAGGGAUGCUAAUACCGCAUACGUCCUACGGGAGAAAGCAGGGGAUCUUCGGACCUUGCGCUAAUAGAUGAGCCUAAGUCGGA
rnacentral:rRNA from 1 species